UGCAAGUCGAGCGGACGAUACUAAUGAAUGCCUUCGGGAGGAUUUAGUAUGAGUUAGCGGCGGACGGGUGAGUAACGCGUGGGCAACCUGCCCUAUACAGGAGGAUAACAACGAGAAAUCGUUGCUAAUACUGCAUAAGACCCCAGUAAGGCAUCUUACUGAGGUAAAAACUCCGGUGGUAUAGGAUGGGCCCGCGUCUGAUUAGCUAGUUGGUAAGGUAAUGGCUUACCAAGGCGACGAUCAGUAGCCGACCUGAGAGGGUGAUCGGCCACAUUGGGACUGAGACACGGCCCAAACUCCUACGGGAGGCAGCAGUGGGGAAUAUUGCACAAUGGGGGAAACCCUGAUGCAGCAACGCCGCGUGAAGGAAGAAUGUCUUCGGAUUGUAAACUUCUAUCAGCAGGGAAGAUAAUGACGGUACCUGACUAAGAAGCCCCGGCUAACUACGUGCCAGCAGCCGCGGUAAUACGUAGGGGGCAAGCGUUAUCCGGAAUUACUGGGUGUAAAGGGUGCGUAGGCGGCUAUGCAAGUCAGAUGUGAAAGCCCAGGGCUCAACCCUGGGACUGCAUUUGAAACUGUGUAGCUAGAGUGCAGGAGAGGUAAGUGGAAUUCCUAGUGUAGCGGUGAAAUGCGUAGAUAUUAGGAGGAACACCAGUGGCGAAGGCGGCUUACUGGACUGUAACUGACGCUGAGGCACGAAAGCGUGGGGAGCGAACAGGAUUAGAUACCCUGGUAGUCCACGCCGUAGACGAUGAGUGCUAGGUGUCGGGGGUCGACAGACCUUC
rnacentral:rRNA from 1 species